GGAUCUUGGGUUUGGAUAUCUCUCUCUUUCUCGUCCGUCUCAUCUGACAAACGAGAGAGACAGCACAAAAACCUUGAAUUUUCUUUCUUUUCUUUCUUUCAACGCCAGAGAGAGAGGCCCCAACGGCAAUCAUGAUGUUCUCUUUCUCUGUAUCUUCUCCAUUGCAAUCGUUGUUCCCACAGGAACCCACUGCCUUUUAUCAUCAUUACCUUCCACAAUCUUCAAAGCAUGUCAUCAUUUCAUCAAACGAAAAAGAUGAGAAAAAGAAGUCAGAAGCUCUAUCGAAGGACAUCUGCUUUCAAGUGGGGAGAGACCAUCAGGAAGAAAGCAAAGAAUAACGAUCUUUCAAGCUAUUGCUUUUCUUGUUUUUGAGCUUUGUUCUUGGUUUUGAGUGAUGGGUCGUUUCUCUUCUCCAGACUUUCCAAGUCUUUUUUCUUUCUUUCUCUAACUUCUUGGGGGAAUCAAGCAUCUUGGUCCGAAAGCUUUGCUCGAUCAAAGCAAAUUUAUUAAUACUAGCUUUUAUUGGUUUGUAUGGUUUUCAAGGUUAUUGAAGACAACUAAGUGCAAAACCUUGUGUGUUUUCACAAGGUUCUUUAAGAGAUCUCUCUCUUUUCUUGAUCUUGUUUCUAUAUAUGAACUUUUUUUCAUCCUACUUUCAUCUUCUAUUCUUCUUCCAUGCUGAUCUUUUAGUUAAGAUAGAAAUAUUUACCUAUAUUGAUCUGUCUUUCAAUGGCUUUAUCAAGCAGAUCUACCAUGUUAGACUAGCUUUUCUUGUAUUAGGGUUUUUCAGUUUGUACCAUCCAAGUCCUAUCCCCUUCCAAAAAUUUCUUACAAAAGUACUGUCUUGAUCUUAUUAUUGAACUCACAUCAUGAGCUUGCCAUAAUCAACAAAUUAAGAAAACAAAGGUAAUAUACAAUCAUUUGACCAUCAGUUUUGCUUUUAUACAUUUGUUUUUCCUUCUUUUUGUCUAUAUUGAAAUAGAUCAUAUGUAUUGGAGAAGAAACUCUUGGAUGAUAUAUAUAUGGUUUAUCUAAGCUCCAGAAAAUAAUCUUAUUUGGUAUAGUAACUUAUUUUUCAUUUAAUUUUGUUUUUGAGUAGCCAUCUAUUCUCUUUUUGAGAAGCUACAACAUUAAAGUACCUUCAAAUUUAAAGGAUUGAAUUUUUUUAAGUAAUUGUUGAUUCAAGUACACAUAUUUUCUUCUGAGUUUGGAGAAAAUGGAAACUAUACUUCCAAAGGGUUUGACAUAUUUUCACUUGCUUAUGAUGUUCAUGUAUGAUGUAUCUUGAUCCUCUUAAGAGGAAUAAGAUCACACAUAUGUUUAGCUAUCUGAUCAAGUUUGCUCCCUUAAUAUACCAUGUAGGAUGAUCUCUUUCCCUUUGAUUUUUUUUUUCACUCUUCUCUAUCAAACAGGAGAUUAAAAAAUAUGUUAAUAUUUGUCUAAAUGGUAAUACUAUGCAUCUUGAGGGAAAUUUUUCACUGAACAAAGUUAUUCUUAAUAAUUUGCACAACUUCAAAUGUUGUUUGAUGAUGAGGAUGGGUUUCAGGUUAUUAACCUAUAGACAUUUCAGGCAACUCCUGCUCUAAUUGCAACAUUGUAAAUUAAGUACAUGAAAAGAAACUUAACUAGAUCCUCAAAGCUAUGUCUUUUCUAAUCUGAUGGUUAAUCAUCCUUUUGAAGAGACACCAACAGCAGAGGCCAUGCAUGUAUAUUCCAGUUGUCCUUUUUAUAUUCCUUUCUAACAUUCCAUCCAUUAUUAAAAGUGAAAAAGAAAAAUAUUUUUUUAGUAAAGAAUAUCGCAGAAUGAAAACAAAAGAAACAAUAGAAAAUUUAGAUUUUAGAUAUAUUAGAUACAUCUCUUAAAAUUGAUUUUAUAUAUUAAUUAAAUUAAAUUUAAAUUCAUAAUAUACAGCUUUAAUAUCUCAAACUCUUACCUAUAUGUCUGUACUAAGUAAUUCUAUGUACGUAGGGACGGAGUUGAGAUUUAUGAUUAGUGAGAAUAAAUAUUUUAAAUUAAUUUAAAAUUUUUUUAUUGAAUUAUAAAUUAUUUUAAAAAUUCCAAAUAAAAUUAUUAUGUAUAAUAUUUUUUGCAAAGGAAAAAAAAGAAUUUUUUUUGCAAUAUAAAUAAUAUUUGCAUAAUUAAUUAUAUGAUUUUUUACGAACAUAGCUUAAAUAAUAUUUAGAUAAAUUAUUUAUCAUAAUAGAUACAC
rnacentral:lncRNA from 1 species